rnacentral:misc_RNA from 1 species
GAUGAAGAACGCAGCGAAAUGCGAUAACUAAUGUGAAUUGCAGAAUUCCGUGAAUCAUCGAGUCUUUGAACGCACAUUGCGCCCCCUGGGAUUCCGGGGGGCAUGCCUGUCCGAGCGUCAUUGCUGCCCAUCAAGCACGGCUUGUGUGUUGGGUCCCGUCCCCCUCUCCCGGGGGACGGACCCGAAAGGCAGCGGCGGCACCGCGUCCGGUCCUCGAGCGUAUGGGGCUUUGUCACCCGCUCUUGUAGGCCCGGCCGGCGCUUGCCGACACCCAACCAUUUUUUUCAGGUUGACCUCGGAUCAGGUAGGGAUACCCGCUGAACUUAAGCAUAUCAAUAAGCGGAGGA